rnacentral:rRNA from 1 species
UGUCUAAAGAAUUAAUUUUAGAUACAGCCUGCUCAGUGUAAUAAUCAACAGCCGCAGAAAUUUAACUGUGCUAAGGUAGCAUAAUCAUUAGUCUCUUAAUUAGGGAAUAGAAUGAAUGGCUAAACAUUUCACCCACUUUUUUAUAGAUACCCCUAAAAAUUUUACUAAAUAUAAAAAUAUAUUUAUACCUAAGAAAGACGACAAGACCCUAUCGAACUUUACUUUAGUUUAGCUGGGGCAGCUACUUAAAUACAAUUUUAAUUACAAUAUUUAUAUAAACAGACCCGACCCAAUCGAUUUCUUGAUCAAGUUACCGUAGGGAUAACAGCGUAAUAAAUUUUUAAAGCUCUUAUUAAAAAAUUAAAUUGCGACCUCGAUGUUGAAUAGGUAUCUUAACAACGCAAGAGUUUAUUAAGAAGGUCUGUUCGACCCUUAAACUUCUACA